rnacentral:rRNA from 1 species
UACGGGGGGAGCAAGCGUUGUUCGGAAUUACUGGGCGUAAAGGGCUCGUAGGUGGCCAACUAAGUCAGACGUGAAAUCCCUCGGCUUAACCGGGGAACUGCGUCUGAUACUGGAUGGCUUGAGUUCGGGAGAGGGAUGCGGAAUUCCAGGUGUAGCGGUGAAAUGCGUAGAUAUCUGGAGGAACACCGGUGGCGAAGGCGGCAUCCUGGACCGACACUGACACAGAGGAGCGAAAGCCAGGGGAGCAAACGGG